CCCUUAGAUGUUCUGGGCCGCACGCGCGCUACACUGAUGGAUUCAACGAGUGUUGUUCUUCGGAGCAGAUCCUUGGUCGGAAGGCCUGGGCAAUCUUGUAAAUGUCCAUCGUGAUGGGGCUAGAUUUUUGCAAUUCUGAAUCUCCAACGAGGAAUUCCUAGUAAACGCAAGUCAUCAGCUUGCAUUGAUUACGUCCCUGCCCUUUGUACACACCGCCCGUCGCACCUACCGAUUGAGUGGUCCGGUGAGGCUUUGGGAUCUGAGCGGAAAGAGCGUUUCGCUGUUUCUGCUCGGAAAACUCAGUCGAACCUUAUCAUUUAGAGGAAGGAGAAGUCGUAACA
rnacentral:rRNA from 1 species